CAUAAGUUCGAGAGAAGAAAGGGGCAAGUCGCCGGGAGAGGAGUCCGCGGUCGAUUAGUUAGUUGGCAGGGUAAAGGCCUACCAAGACAAAGAUCGAUAGCCGGCCUGAGAGGGCACACGGCCACACUGGCACUGAAACACGGGCCAGACUCCUACGGGAGGCAGCAGUGGGGAAUCUUGCACAAUGGGGGAAACCCUGAUGCAGCGACGCCGCGUGAGCGAUGAAGCCCUUCGGGGUGUAAAGCUCUUUCGGCAGGAACGAUAAUGACGGUACCUGCAGAAGAAGCUGCGGCUAACUACGUGCCAGUAGCCGCGGUAAUACGUAGGCAGCAAGCGUUGUUCGGAAUUACUGGGCGUAAAGAGUGUGUAGGUGGUGUCGUAAGUUUGGUGUGAAAUCUCCCGGCUUAACUGGGAGGGUGCGCCGAAGACUGCGAUGCUUGAGUAUGGGAGAGGAAAGCGGAAUUCCUGGUGUAGCGGUGAAAUGCGUAUAUAUCUGGAGGAACACCUGCGGUGUAGACGGCUUUCUGGACCAUUACUGACACUGAGACACGAAAGCGUGGGUAGCAAACAGGAUUAGAUACCCUGGUAGUCCACGCCCUAAACGAU
rnacentral:rRNA from 1 species